rnacentral:tRNA from 1 species
CGGCGCUGUGGCCGCUGGGCGGGCCGCGCUUGCCACGCGCGGGCAUGUGGUUGAAACCACGGGCCUUGC